UACGUAGGUGGCAAGCGUUGUCCGGAUUUACUGGGCGUAAAGAGCGCGCAGGCGGUCGUUCAAGUCGCGUGUGAAAGCCCCCGGCUCAACUGGGGAGGGUCACGCGAUACUGAUCGACUCGAAGGCAGGAGAGGGUAGUGGAAUUCCCGGUGUAGUGGUGAAAUGCGUAGAUAUCGGGAGGAACACCAGUGGCGAAGGCGGUUCUCUGGGCAUUACCUGACGCUGAGGAGCGAAAGUGUGGGGAGCGAACAGG
rnacentral:rRNA from 1 species